GAGUGUGUGUGAUUGAUGGAGGGACUGAAAUAAUGAGCAAGAGAGAGGGUGAGAGAGAGAGAGAGAGAGAGAGAGAGAGAGAGAGAGAGAGAGAGAGAGAGGGAGGGAGGAGAGGUUGAAAUGUGGUGGAACAGUGAGAGACAAAAAGACAGAGAGCGAGACAGAGUAAUGAAGAAAAUUGGGGAUAAUUGAAUAGAAGAGCACUUGGGUGCAGGAAAAAAGCAGAGAGAGCAACUGACAGAUAGAGGGUGAAGAGUCAGUACACAGUGGAAGUACAAAGCGAGGAAGGAGAACGAAGGAGAGAGAUCAAUCUAGCUGCUAAAUCUCUUUGUGGUUUAUCAAGGAGGUCACUGCGGAUAAAACGAGGAGCAACACAGCCUGAACUGCAGACUAAAAGGAUGACAAAGAUGGCGAGGAUGAAGAGGAGGAAGAGGAGCAGGGAGGAGAAAACAGAAAAGGAGAAGGUGGACGUGACACAGAGAAUGGAGGGUUAG
rnacentral:lncRNA from 15 species